GGAUGAACGCUAGCGGCAGGCUAACACAUGCAAGUCGAGGGGCAUCGGGAGUAGCAAUACUUGCCGGCGACCGGCGCAAGGGUGCGUAACGCGUGAGCAACAUGCCCGUAUCAGGGGGAUAAUCCAUGGAAACGUGGUCUAAUACCCCAUAGUAAUUAUGUAAGGCAUCUUAUAUAAUUUAAAGCUUUGGUGGAUACGGAUUGGCUCGCGUGACAUUAGCUGGAUGGUAAGGUAACGGCUUACCAUGGCUACGAUGUCUAGGGGUUCUGAGAGGAAGGUCCCCCCACACUGGAACUGAGACACGGUCCAGACUCCUACGGGAGGCAGCAGUGAGGAAUAUUGGACAAUGGAUGGAAAUCUGAUCCAGCCAUGCCGCGUGCAGGAAAGACGGCCCUAUGGGUUGUAAACUGCUUUUGUAUGGGAGCAAUAAGGGCUACGUGUAGUCCGAUGAGAGUACCAUACGAAUAAGCACCGGCUAACUCCGUGCCAGCCGCAGC
rnacentral:rRNA from 1 species